CAGCCGCCGCGGUAAUACGAGGGGGGCAAGCGUUGUUCGGAUUUAUUGGGCGUAAAGGGUGCGUAGGCGGUUCGGCAAGUCUUGUGUGAAAUCUAUGGGCUCAACCCAUAGCCUGCACGAGAAACUACCGGGCUUGAGUGAUGGAGAGGUGAGUGGAAUUUCCGGUGUAGCGGUGAAAUGCGUAGAUAUCGGAAGGAACACCUGUGGCGAAAGCGGCUCACUGGACAUUAACUGACGCUGAUGCACGAAAGCUAGGGGAGCAAACAGGAUUAGAUACCCCGGUAGUCCCUGUCUCUUAUAC
rnacentral:rRNA from 1 species